rnacentral:rRNA from 1 species
UUCAACAGGGAAAAAAGGGCAAGUGGGGGUCCCUGCAGAAGAAGCCCGGCUACUCCGUCCCAGCACUCCCCGUAAUACGUAGGGCGCAAGCGUUGUUCGGAAUUAUUGGGCGUAAAGAGCUCGUAGGCGGUUUGUCGCGUCUGGUGUGAAAACUCGAGGCUCAACCUCGAGCUUGCAUCGGGUACGGGCAGACUAGAGUGCGGUAGGGGAGACUGGAAUUCCUGGUGUAGCGGUGGAAUGCGCAGAUAUCAGGAGGAACACCGAUGGCGAAGGCAGGUCUCUGGGCCGCAACUGACGCUGAGGAGCGAAAGCAUGGGGAGCGAACAGGAUUAGAUACCCUGGUAGUCCAUGCCGUAAACGUUGGGCACUAGGUGUGGGGCUCAUUCCACGAGUUCCGUGCCGCAGCAAACGCAUUAAGUGCCCCGCCUGGGGAGUACGGCCGCAAGGCUAAAACUCAAAGGAAUUGACGGGGGCCCGCACAAGCGGCGGAGCAUGCGGAUUAAUUCGAUGCAACGCGAAGAACCUUACCAAGGCUUGACAUGCACGGGAAGCCACCAGAGAUGGUGGUCUCUUUGGACACUCGUGCACAGGUGGUGCAUGGUUGUCGUCAGCUCGUGUCGUGAGAUGUUGGGUUAAGUCCCGCAACGAGCGCAACCCUCGUCCCAUGUUGCCAGCGGGUUAUGCCGGGGACUCAUGGGAGACUGCCGGGGUCAACUCGGAGGAAGGUGGGGAUGACGUCAAAUCAUCAUGCCCCUUAUGUCUUGGGCUUCACGCAUGCUACAAUGGCCGGUACAAAGGGCUGCGAUACCGUAAGGUGGAGCGAAUCCCAAAAAGCCGGUCUCAGUUCGGAUUGGGGUCUGCAACUCGACCCCAUGAAGUCGGAGUCGCUAGUAAUCGCAGAUCAGCAACGCUGCGGUGAAUACGUUCCCGGGCCUUGUACACACCGCCCGUCAAGUCACGAAAGUCGGUAACACCCGAAGCCCAUGGCCCAACCGUUCGCGGGGGGAGUGGUCGAAGGUGUACGACC